UAGGGAAUCUUCCACAAUGGGCGAAAGCCUGAUGGAGCAACGCCGCGUGUGUGAUGAAGGGUUUCGGCUACGUAAAACACUGUUGUAAGAGAAGAAUGACAUUGAGAGUAACUGUUCAAUGUGUGACGGUAUCUUACCAGAAAGGAACGGCUAAAUACGUGCCAGCAG
rnacentral:rRNA from 1 species